GGGCGUGUGGUCUAGUGGUAUGAUUCUCGCUUUGGGUGUCAGUUACAUUGUAAUUACACAAGUAUGCGAGAGGCCCUGGGUUCAAUUCCCAGCUCGCCCC
rnacentral:tRNA from 1 species